rnacentral:rRNA from 1 species
UACAGAGGUCUCAAGCGUUGUUCGGAUUCAUUGGGCGUAAAGGGUGCGUAGGCGGCGCGGUAAGUCGGGUGUGAAAUCUCGGAGCUUAACUCCGAAACUGCAUUCGGUACUGCCGUGCUUGAGGACUGGAGAGGAGACUGGAAUUUACGGUGUAGCGGUGAAAUGCGUAGAUAUCGUAAGGAAGACCAGUGGCGAAGGCGGGUCUCUGGACAGUUCCUGACGCUGAGGCACGAAGGUCAGGGGAGCAAACGGG